rnacentral:rRNA from 1 species
CAGCGUUGUCCGGAAUUAUUGGGCGUAAAGAGCUCGUAGGCGGUUUGUCGCGUCUGCUGUGAAAGCCCGGGGCUCAACCCCGGGUCUGCAGUGGGUACGGGCAGACUAGAGUGCAGUAGGGGAGACUGGAAUUCCUGGUGUAGCGGUGAAAUGCGCAGAUAUCAGGAGGAACACCGAUGGCGAAGGCAGGUCUCUGGGCUGUUACUGACGCUGAGGAGCGAAAGCAUGGGGAGCGAACAGGAUUAGAUACCCUGGUAGUCCAUGCCGUAAACGUUGGGCACUAGGUGUGGGGGACAUUCCACGUUUUCCGCGCCGUAGCUAACGCAUUAAGUGCCCCGCCUGGGGAGUACGGCCGCAAGGCUAAAACUCAAAGGAAUUGACGGGGGCCCGCACAAGCGGCGGAGCAUGCGGAUUAAUUCGAUGCAACGCGAAGAACCUUACCAAGGCUUGACAUUCACCGGACCGCCUCAGAGAUGGGGUUUCCCUUCGGGGCUGGUGGACAGGUGGUGCAUGGUUGUCGUCAGCUCGUGUCGUGAGAUGUUGGGUUAAGUCCCGCAACGAGCGCAACCCUCGUUCUAUGUUGCCAGCACGUGAUGGUGGGGACUCAUAGGAGACUGCCGGGGUCAACUCGGAGGAAGGUGGGGAUGACGUCAAAUCAUCAUGCCCCUUAUGUCUUGGGCUUCACGCAUGCUACAAUGGCCGGUACAAAGGGUUGCGAUACUGUGAGGUGGAGCUAAUCCCAAAAAGCCGGUCUCAGUUCGGAUUGAGGUCUGCAACUCGACCUCAUGAAGUCGGAGUCGCUAGUAAUCGCAGAUCAGCAACGCUGCGGUGAAUA